UACGAAGGGGGCUAGCGUUGCUCGGAAUUACUGGGCGUAAAGCGCACGUAGGCGGCUUUCUAAGUCGGGGGUGAAAUCCUGGAGCUCAACUCCAGAACUGCCUUCGAUACUGGAGAGCUCGAGUCCGGGAGAGGUGAGUGGAACUGCGAGUGUAGAGGUGAAAUUCGUAGAUAUUCGCAAGAACACCAGUGGCGAAGGCGGCUCACUGGCCCGGUACUGACGCUGAGGUGACGAA
rnacentral:rRNA from 1 species